CAGCAGCCGCGGUAAUACGAGGGGGGCAAGCGUUGUUCGGAAUUAUUGGGCGUAAAGGGCGCGUAGGCGGUUUGACAAGUCUGAUGUGAAAUCUCUGGGCUCAACCCAGAGUCUGCAUCGGAAACCGUCGAGCUUGAGUAUGGGAGAGGUGAGUGGAAUUUCCGGUGUAGCGGUGAAAUGCGUAGAUAUCGGAAGGAACACCUGUGGCGAAAGCGGCUCACUGGACCAUUACUGACGCUGAGGCGCGAAAGCUAGGGGAGCAAACAGGAUUAGAUACCCCAGUAGUCCCUGUCUCUUAUAA
rnacentral:rRNA from 1 species